rnacentral:tRNA from 1 species
GGAGGGUCCAGCUCAGUGGCAGAGCGCACGCUUAGCACGCGUGAGGUCCUGGGUUCGACCCCCAGAACCGCCA